rnacentral:rRNA from 1 species
AUUGAACGCUGGCUGCAGGCUUAACACAUGCAAGUCGAGCGAGCGGCGGACGGGUGAGUAAUGUCUGCGAAACUGCCUGAUGGCGGGGGAUAACUACUGGAAACGGUAGCUAAUACCGCAUACCAUCAGUUGUGCCCAGAUGGGAUUGGCUAGUAGGUGGGGUAACGGCUCACCUAGGCGACGAUCCCUAGCUGGUCUGAGAGGCUGACCAGCCAUACUGGAGCUGAGACACGGUCCAGACGCCUACGGGAGGCAGCAGAGGGGAUUAUUGCACAUUGGGCACAAGCCUGAUGCAGCCAUGCCAGGUGGGUGAGGAAAGCCUUGGGGUUGUAAAGCACUUUCAGCGGGGAGGAGUUACACGCAGAAGAAGAACCGGCAAACUCCGUGCCAGCAGCCGCGGUAAUAC